rnacentral:lncRNA from 1 species
AAAGGAAGAUGCAAAUCAUUACCAAGAACAUCAUCGAUACUAGUAUCUUGUCAAAGAACAAGUGAGAUGCCAUCUCCUUCAUCUUGAUCAUCCUCCACAUUCUCAAUCCAUUCCUCUCCUUCAUCUUCAAAAUAAAUUUCUUCAACCUCAUAGAUAACACUCUUUCUUUUAUUCUUCUUUCCUAAUUUUGAGUUAACCAUCACAAAAACUACCUUAUUCUUUGUGAUUUGCUUCAAGCGAUUCCUCUUCUUAGUGUGAACGUAAAUGAUUAUAACAUAAAUUAAAACAUAAUAGAUACUUGGAAUACAAUUUGUUUAAAAGGUUCAAAAACUUACCCUUUCAAAAGCACUCCAAUUCUGUCCACACCCCUUUGAGCUACAUGUCAAACUAAAUACUCGCAAAUAGAACCAUUGCAAUUCAGGAUGUUUACCUCCAUAAGAUUCCCACCACUGUGUUGGUGUUUUAGUUUCAAGUGCAUAUGUAGCAAAUUUACUACCGAAUUUUCUACUCCUCCCUUUAAAAUAAACAAGGUUUCCAUAGUCAUACCACUUUAGUGCAACCGUAUCGUUGGCUGUCUUCUUCUAGUUCUACUAAAGGAAUACUCUACCUUUAACUAAGUUUCUUCCACCAC